rnacentral:rRNA from 1 species
GAUACGACCGUACCGCAAACCGACACUGGUGCGCGAGAUGAGUAUUCUAAGGCGCUUGAGAGAACUCAGGAGAAGGAACUCGGCAAAUUGACACCGUAACUUCGGAAGAAGGUGUGCCCUAUUAGUGCGUAGUGAACAACGAAGCAUGAAUGGGUUGCAAAAAAUCGGUGGCUGCGACCGUUUAUUAAAAACACAGCACUCUGCAAACACGAAAGUGGACGUAUAGGGUGUGACGCCUGCCCGGUGCUGGAAGAUUAAAUGAUGGGGUGCAAGCUCUUGAUUGAAGUCCCAGUAAACGGCGGCCGUAACAAUAACGGUCCUAAGGUAGCGAAAUUCCUUGUCGGGUAAGUUCCGACCUGCACGAAUGGCGUAACGAUGGCCACACUGUCUCCUCCUGAGACUCAGCGAAGUUGAAAUGUUUGUGAUGAUGCAAUCUCCCCGCGGAAAGACGGAAAGACCCCAUGAACCUUUACUGUAGCUUUGUAUUGGACUUUGAACAGAUCUGUGUAGGAUAGGUGGGAGGCUUUGAAGCCGGGUCGCUAGAUCUUGUGGAGCCAACGUUGAAAUACCACCCUGGUGUGUUUGAGGUUCUAACCUAGGUCCAUUAUCUGGAUCGGGGACAGUGCAUGGUAGGCAGUUUGACUGGGGCGGUCUCCUCCCAAAGCGUAACGGAGGAGUUCGAAGGUACGCUAGUUACGGUCGGACAUCGUGACGAUAGUGCAAUGGCAUAAGCGUGCUUAACUGCGAGACUGACAAGUCGAGCAGAUGCGAAAGCAGGACAUAGUGAUCCGGUGGUUCUGUAUGGAAGGGCCAUCGCUCAACGGGUAAAAGGUACUCUGGGGAUAACAGGCUGAUACCGCCCAAGAGUUCAUAUCGACGGCGGUGUUUGGCACCUCGAUGUCGGCUCAUCUCAUCCUGGGGCUGUAGCCGGUCCCAAGGGUAUGGCUGUUCGCCAUUUAAAGAGGUACGUGAGCUGGGUUUAAAACGUCGUGAGACAGUUUGGUCCCUAUCUUCCGUGGGCGCUGCAGAUUUGAGGAAGCCUGCUCCUAGUACGAGAGGACCGGAGUGGACACACCCCUGGUGUAUCGGUUGUCACGCCAGUGGCAUUGCCGAGUAGCUAAGUGUGGAAGAGAUAACCGCUGAAAGCAUCUAAGCGGGAAACUCGUUUCAAGAUGAGAUCUGCCGGGGCCUUGAGCCCCCUAAAGAGUCGUUCAAGACCAGGACGUUGAUAGGUCAGGUGUGGAAACA